rnacentral:rRNA from 1 species
UACGAAGGGAGCUAGCGUUGUUCGGAAUCACUGGGCGUAAAGCGCACGUAGGCGGAUGUGUCAGUCAGGGGUGAAAUCCCGGAGCUCAACUCCGGAACUGCCCUUGAUACAGCACGUCUUGAGUCCGGAAGAGGUGGGUGGAAUUCCUAGUGUAGAGGUGAAAUUCGUAGAUAUUAGGAAGAACACCGGUGGCGAAGGCGGCCCACUGGUCCGGUACUGACGCUGAGGUGCGAAAGCGUGGGGAGCAAACAGG